UGGGGAAUAUUGCACAAUGGGUGAAAGCCUGAUGCAGCAACGCCGCGUGAGGGACGACGGCCUUCGGGUUGUAAACCUCUUUUAGCAGGGAAGAAGCGAAAGUGACGGUACCUGCAGAAAAAGCACCGGCUAACUACGUGC
rnacentral:rRNA from 1 species